rnacentral:rRNA from 1 species
GAUGAACGCUGGCGGCGUGCCUAACACAUGCAAGUCGAGCGAUCUUCUUCGGAAGAGAGCGGCGGACGGGUGAGUAACGCGUGGGUAACCUACCUCAUACACAUGGAUACAUGCCGAAAGGUAUGCUAAUACAAGAUGAUAUAAGAGAUUCGCAUGGAUUUCUUAUCAAAGCUUUUGCGGUAUGAGAUGGACCCGCGUCUAAUUAGCUAGUUGGUAAGGUAACGGCUUACCAAGGCGACGAUCAGUAGCCGACCUGAGAGGGUGAUCGGCCACAUUGGAACUGAGACACGGUCCAAACUCCUACGGGAGGCAGCAGUGGGGAAUAUUGCACAAUGGGCGAAAGCCUGAUGCAGCAACGCCGCGUGAGCGAUGAAGGCCUUCGGGUCGUAAAGCUCUGUCCUCAAGGAAGAUAAUGACGGUACUUGAGGAGGAAGCCCCGGCUAACUACGUGCCAGCCGCCGCCGUAACAC